CUGAAGCGACUGCGGAGGAUCAUUACUGAGUGAGGGCCCCUCGGGGUCCAAACCUCCCACCCGUGUUUAACGAACCUUGUUGCUUCGGCGGGCCCGCCUCACGGCCGCCGGGGGGCAUCUGCCCCCGGGUCCGCGCCCGCCGAAGCCACCUGUGAACUCUGUCUGAAGUAUGCAGUCUGAGACAAUUAUUAAAUUAAUUAAAACUUUCAACAACGGAUCUCUUGGUUCCGGCAUCGAUGAAGAACGCAGCGAAAUGCGAUAACUAAUGUGAAUUGCAGAAUUCAGUGAAUCAUCGAGUCUUUGAACGCACAUUGCGCCCUCUGGUAUUCCGGAGGGCAUGCCUGUCCGAGCGUCAUUGCUGCCCUCCAGCCCGGCUGGUGUGUUGGGUCCCGCCCCCCUUCCCGGGGCGGCGGGCCCGAAAGGCAGCGGCGGCACCGCGUCCGGUCCUCGAGCGUAUGGGGCUUUGUCACCCGCUCUUGUAGGCCCGGCCGGCGCCAGCCGACCCCCUCAAUCUAUUUUUUCAGGUUGACAUCGAAACGAGGUGGGGAUCCCCGAUAAACUAGUAAUAUCUUUUUUGCA
rnacentral:rRNA from 1 species